rnacentral:rRNA from 1 species
CAGUAGCCGCGGUAAUACAGAGGGUGCGAGCGUUAAUCGGAUUUACUGGGCGUAAAGCGUGCGUAGGCGGCUAAUUGAGUCGGAUGUGAAAUCCCCGAGCUUAACUUGGGAAUUGCAUUCGAUACUGGGAAGCUAGAGUAUGGGAGAGGAUGGUAGAAUUCCAGGUGUAGCGGUGAAAUGCGUAGAGAUCUGGAGGAAUACCGAUGGCGAAGGCAGCCAUCUGGCCUAAUACUGACGCUGAGGUACGAAAGCAUGGGGAGCAAACAGGAUUAGAUACCCGAGUAGUCCCUGUCUCUUAUAC